UCACCCCACCCCUGCCCAGAACUCUUUCCUCAAGGCUAGCCUAGGGGAGCACAACCUUGGGCUGCUUCCCCUGCAUGCUUAGAUCCAGCCAGAGCCCCCCUGCUGGGCCACAGACCUCCAUCCCCAUAGCGGCUUCUUUUCCAAAGUGCAUUCACCUCAUUGAGAACAGCCUCUCCCCUCCUGAACAUUCCAGACAUUCCACUCAGGCUGACUUAAUGCCACCUGGCCAGAAAAAAACAGUGUCCAUUCCCCCUUUUCUAAAACCUUGAUUUUGUGAUCGUUUGAACCUUUGAGUUUAGAAUCACUGUAUUAUAACUUCCUUGGGAUCCUACCUUUGCAGCUAGCCACAUUCCAAAUUAUAAGACUCUCUCUGGAAGCCCGUUGUAGACAACCAAAAGCCCUGAUGAUGUAAGGGAGCUCGCCAGACACACACUUUCAUACUCACCACCUUGUCUUAAGCUGCUUACCAUCUGCUGGCCCCAGUCAGCUCUUCUGGGAAAAGCUGCGUUUGGAAAAGGAGUUCCCCGAAUGUAUUUAAUAUCAAAUGGAGCAAUGGUUCUCAAAGUGUGCUCCCUGGAGCAGCAGCAGCACCAGCAUCUCCUGGGAACGCUUUAGACAUGCACAUCCUCCAGCCCCACCCACCCCUGCUGAGUUAGAAGCUCUGCGGUGAGGCCAGUGCACUCAAGUUUGGGAACUACCAAUAUAGAGUAAAAGAUGGGGGAGAAAACCCCUUGAGUAUCAAAUUUAGAAGGCCACAAUAGUGAAGCGUCUGUGCCUACUGUUUGCAGAAUGUGGAAGGUUUAGGGUGUUUACUACUGUAUGUUGAAUAAUGAUUCUCUUAAAACUUUUGUGAAUUGUAAAAGUAAAUCCCUAGGAAUGCUGGGCAGUGAUAACCUGACUCUCCCAUUUUCACCUGCAUACACAUACCCAGAACAUCCUUUUCUCCUUCACAACAGGGAAGUUGGAAGGUAAAAGUUAUUUUCUACCAAUAUAAAGUCUUAGAUUUUUAUUUACUAAAUUCUUAACACAGUACAUGGCACAGUUACCUUUUAAAGGCUUUCCAUUUCUUUAAUCUGAGCCCACAGCAACCCCAUUUUAAGGAGAGGAACUAGAGCCAGAGAGAUUUAGGAGCCAGCCUGUACCUCAGGAAUGAGAGACAUUACUUGCGGGAGCAGAGAUUUGAGCUCGGCAAUACUCCCAGACCCACACUUGCCCUUGCUUUUGAUUUUCUACCUCCCUAAUGAACAAGUGGGGAUCAUGAAAGUCAGCUGUGCCCAGCUUACUUAGAGCACCUGUUUCUGUCUGAGCAAUGAAAAGCCAUUUGAUUGGCGGUCAACUUGGAGAAACCUUGACCCUAAAAGAUAAUGCCAUAAAGACCAAACACACUGGGCGAUCAUAUCAUUUCAACUUGACAAAAUUUGUCGUACUCUUUUCUCGAGGUGGACUUCUUUUUUUGCUAGUGGCAGGGGUAGAUAUCCUUGUUUUGCUGGUAAUUAUCACCAUUUACCUUAGACUUCAUAGGUGGUUUUUUAUGUAUUCCUCAUGAAAGCCAUAGCCAAAGACCUUUUCAACCCCAAGCAUCUGUCUCUUGGUAGGUACUGGCUUCAGGCAAGUGGCUUCUCUCAUUAAGAAAAUACAGUAAUUUGAGUGUCAUUGCUACAAGGGAAGUGUUCCUAUGUACUCCAUCACACCAACUGCAGUGAGACUAUCAGGAAAGCUUUGGGUACCCUCCCCAGGAAAACUGCACAUCACUCUGCUGAAAUUUCAGGAAAAGUUUACGGGUCUCAAGGACAGAGUUGAAGUCAAAAAAUUUCACCUUCAUGUUAAUUUUUUAUGGAUUUUUUAAGGGUGGGGGGAGGCAAAAAGAUUUAUUUCACCAUUCCCUUUGUCUUCUUAAAACUCAGAAGAAACCUCACAGACCAAUGAGAGAGUUUGAAAUCGCUAUUUUAAGAGGCAUAGCAUAAAAGAAUUUUGAUAGAAAAGUAGAGCAAAAUAAGCAGUAAAACCUCAUCCCUAACAUUCUCCAGCUGCCUGACAUCCUGGUUCAGUUCCAGAGACUUGGACCACUGCUCCCUAGUUCCAGGGGGUGGCACAGGAGCCAAAAACGAGACCUGAGGCUGAAGCCCAACAGAAGAUGAAACUUGGGAGCAGCCUCAGCUUCGGGAAUCCUCACUUCCUGGCACAGCAGGUUUGGGUGCCACAGAGCCCAGGGCUAGACACCUGCCAGCAGUCCAUCAGUCACAGUCUCAGAUGAGUGGCAUCAAGGUGGAGCCCACUGAGGUGAAGGAAGGAGCUGUGAGGGACACCUGCAUCCUGCUGCAGAAAUGUCUGCCCCCCGCCUUGUCCCACCGCAGCUCUAUCUCACAGUUGGAGAAGCAGAAGCAAAGCAACCUGUCCUGGACCAUGCAGCCUGGUCCUCUGUUUCCAGAGCCAGAGGUCUUUGUGCUCUGAAACAAAGACAGUGACCCCAUUAACCCACUGGCACUUACUGUGUGCCAGGCACUCAGCCUGUGUUGUCUCAUUGCAGCACAGAGCAGCCCUGGGAAUGGAAGCAGUGUCAUCAUUCCCAUUUUUCAGGUGAGGCACAGGCUCAGAAAGGUCAAGAAACUUGCUCACGGUCUCACAGCUGGUGAGUAGGUUGUCAGACUCCAAAGAUGUGUGCUGCUAACCCUGCCCAAAGGGACUUCAUCCUCCUCCCUCCUUCCCAGGCAGUUCUCCCAACCACCCACCAACAGGCAACGUAGGUGUGAUUGCCUUCAAAGUUUUCUACUUGCCUUCAAGCUUGAAGCACUGGAGACUGAGGGAAGAGAGCACUGGAAGUGGAGGAAGAAAAAAGAGCUGUUCCCUCCAAGGUUGUUCCCUUGGGCCUGACUCGACUGGAAGAAGCAGGGUGUAUAUGUGUGUGUGUGUGUAAUUGACUUUGUGACCAUGAAACUGAGUUAAUACUCUUCUGUCUUUGCCUGUUUCUUCUUGUACAUCACCUAGAGGAAUACCCAUUAAUGUUUAGAGGCAGAGAACAAUAGAAAAUAGCACUGUUCAAGGACCAAAAAUUUAAAAAGACUGCUGACAUACAGCAUAGAAUGUGAAAGUCCCUGAUAAUCUUAUCCCUAGGGAUAACCACUUGCCAUUUUUUUACAAUUUCAAUUUUUUAUGAUUAUAAAAGUCAUACACAUUUAAAAAUACUUCAAAAUAAAUACAAAAUAAAAAUAAAUGCUUCAUUGCUUAGGUUACCUUGGUACAUGCAAGGUCUGAGACCACAUCCAUCAAUGCAGUUUGCUGCGUGGAUUACCAGAUCUCUCCAACAUUGACCUCAAUUUUUUACUCUGAGAGCAAACAGAAUGGGCAAGGGCUGACCUGAAAUCCUUUUGAAACACAAGCUGGAUCCUAGGGCUUUGACCUCCACUGCUCACUGCCACAUGGGAUCCGUCUCUGUGCCCCACUCUGCCCCAGCCCCACUGGCCUUCCUGCUGCUGCUCACACAGGCCUACUCUUAAGGCCUUUGCAUACUCUGUUCCCUGCAGAGGCCUCUGCCUCUGAACAAAUGUGGGACCCAUCUCUGCCAAGGCUGGGAAGCAAACAGCCCCCACUUUGCCUUGUCAGCCUGUGUUUGCACCAUUCCUGUGGUGGCCUCUCCCAGCUGCUUUCACGUGGGAUUUGAGCUCUGGGAAGCUGGAAGUUUGUGGAGUCCACUUCCCUCAUUUUGCAUAUAUGGAUGAUAAAGCCCACAGGCAAGGGCUCUGACAAAAGGAAAGAUUCCUUCCAUUUGGCAUUGUGAUGCAGAGGCUGUCACAGACAAGCCUGGGAAUUUGGGAUACAUCUUGCUGAGCCUAGAGACAGAAAAGAGCUUCUAGGCUGCCUUCCCUGAGCCCCGGGCCAGGCCCCUCCAGGACACACUUGCAUGGCACCCUGUUCUUUAAAACACUGCACACCAACGACUAUGCAAAGGAUUAACUGACUUCUCAAUAUUCUUGUUUUCUACCGAGUGAUAAGCUUCAGAAGGACAAGGUAUGAGUCCGUUUUGCUCUUUUGCCUUCCCCAGCACAUGGCACAAUGCCCAGCACAUAGUGUUUUGAGAGACAGCUGACUGGCUGUCUCAUACAAGGCCCUGCUCUGUUGGGCACAAGGGCUGCUUAACACAUUCCUAUGCUACAAAAGACAGUGCUCCUCUCCAGGAACCACCAAAUAAAUUCAGAUACUAAUGCCAAAAAGAAGGCAGCAUCAGCUUGGGAAAAGAGUGCCUUUAAGGCACUGUUUCUCUCUAUGAAGGCAGUGUGGAAUGAUAGGGAUGAUCUAGGACCUAGAGGAGAGACCUUAAGUCUUACUUGCAGCCAAAAGCCUUCAAACCUGAGCUAGCCAGAACUGUUACAUCAGAAUUCUCACCCAUGACAAGAAGCCUGGAGGGAGUCCAGGGUUGAUGGAUUGACUUAAGGUGUCAUCAAAAGCUUAGACUUUACCCUUCUGCUGCACCACCCUUAUUGCCUUGUUGUCACAAGAGGACUACUGCUGUUCAAGUCAUCACUUCCACAUUCCAGAAGGAAGAAAGGAGAGGUAGAGGGCCAGAAGUAUCCCCUCCUUUUAUCAGGAGCCAUUAACUUUCCCAGAAACUUCCAUGUCCACCCAGCAGACCUCCACUUACAUCUCACUAGGCAGAACUCCUAUCACUUGGCCACCCCAGCAGUCAGGGAAGCUGGAAGGGUGAGCAUUCAGCUAUAGAGAGUGGAAGCACAAGCAGCAAGGGAAGAACAGGUCAGUAAUUGCUGUAGAGUUUCCUGCCCAGCAGCAUCUGCCAAAACUAGGUAAAUUAUUUUUUAACAUAAUAGUAUUUUUGUGGAUUUUCUUACAAAAGCAAUGCAUAUAUAUUGUUACUUUGAAAAAUAAAGAUUUUAAAUCUUCAACAAGCCCAUUACUCAGGAGUGAUGACUGUUAUUCUUGGUUUAUUAGCUUUCUAGAUCUUUGUAUUUUUUUUAACGUGGGUAGAACCACAAUAUGGGUUGCUCUGAAAUUAGCCUUUACACUUGGCAUUGUGAAAAAUCUUUCCAAAUCAUUAAAUGUUCUCUGCAGAAUUAC
rnacentral:lncRNA from 1 species